rnacentral:rRNA from 1 species
UGGUGGAGUGAUUUGUCUGGUUAAUUCCGUUAACGAACGAGACCUCAACCUGCUAAAUAGCUACGCGUAGCUUCGGUUACAUGGGCAACUUCUUAGAGGGACGUUGCGUGUCUAACGCAAGGAAGUUUGAGGCAAUAACA